GCCAUGAUUGUGAGGCCUCUCCAGCUAUGUGGAACUAAGUCACUGGUCCCAGAAGAAGAAGUAGCACAAGAAAAGGAAACCCAAAGAGAAGCACCAGAAAGAAGGAAAAUAACCAAGAAAGGCAGGAACACAUCACAUUGAGAAAAAGAGAGGCAGGAAAUUAUAUUUUUAAGUUACUUUAUCUGAUAUUUGCCAAAAGAGAACUUUUGCUGGUCUGUAGUUUUUCAAUAAAAUCAAUUAUGAUGAUGAA